GGGUCGGCCAAGGUACAUGACGGAUAUGGGCGACAUGUUUCAUUACUUCCAUCACUUACACGGCACACACACACACACACACACACACACACCGUUAUCCUUCGCAUUUUUCAGCAGCAGCCAGUCAGCUAGCUACCUAUGUCUUGUAUUACCUCGUGGGCCUAGCUACCCAUCUACAUACACUACAUAUUAUACAGUACUUAGUUCACAGCGUCCUCCGACGGCCGACGGAACUAGACCAUCGUAAGAUAACUUUUAUCCAAAUGCUACCUCGCUACCAACUUCUCCGGAGUCCGGGGACUUUUGCUGCAUCCAGAUGGCAUGGUGCCAUUUUUGACCACUGGUGGGAAGCGAAUGAAAGCUCUAAGCGUUCCCCUCGGGUCCACACUAGGCUCGUUUGGAUCAUGUAGACACUGGUAUAUAUAGGCGUUUGUCAUAAUCGUUGGCAGGCUAUAUUUCGACUAGUGUAGCGCUACGGGGAUUACCUUGAGACAGGACAACAAACGGCAAACAGACAUGCUAUAAGUCAGGGGCAUAUUGGUGGACUUGUGUUUGAAUUGCUUGGUUUAACUGUACUCAGGUCUAGUCGACAUCUUAUAGACCAUAUCAUCACAUAACCAAGAGAUUCCGCUUCC